rnacentral:rRNA from 1 species
AUUGAACGCUGGCGGCAGGCUUAACACAUGCAAGUCGAGCGGGGGAGGUUGCUUCGGUAACUGACCUAGCGGCGGACGGGUGAGUAAUGCUUAGGAAUCUGCCAUUUAGUGGGGGACAACAUUCCGAAAGGAAUGCUAAUACCGCAUACGUCCUACGGGAGAACGAAGGGGAUCUUCGGACCUUGCGCUAAAUGAUGAGCCUAAGUCGGAUUAGCUAGUUGGUGGGGUAAAGGCCUACCAAGGCGACGAUCUGUAGCGGGUCUGAGAGGAUGAUCCGCCACACUGAUACUUAGACACUGCCCAGACUCCUACGGGAGGCAGCAGUGGGGAAUAUUGGACAAUCGGCGGAAGCCUGAUCCAGCCAUGCCGCGUGUGUGAAGAAGGCCUUAUGGUUGUAAAGCACUUUAAGCGAGGAGGAGGCUACCUAGAUUAAUACUCUAGGAUAGUGGACGUUACUCGCAGAAUAAGCACCGGCUAACUCUGUGCCAGCCGCCGCCGUAACAC